rnacentral:rRNA from 1 species
UACGUAGGGUGCAAGCGUUGUCCGGAAUUAUUGGGCGUAAAGAGCUCGUAGGCGGUCUGUUGCGUCGGCUGUGAAAACCCGGGGCUCAACCCCGGGCCUGCAGCCGAUACGGGCAGACUAGAGUUCGGCAGGGGAGACUGGAAUUCCUGGUGUAGCGGUGAAAUGCGCAGAUAUCAGGAGGAACACCGAUGGCGAAGGCAGGUCUCUGGGCAUUAACUGACGCUGAGGAGCGAAAGCAUGGGGAGCGAACAGG